rnacentral:rRNA from 1 species
AACGAACGCUGGCGGCGUGGAUAAGACAUGCAAGUCGAGCGACAGACCAGGAAUUGAUUACUUCGGUUUGAUUUUCCUGACGAUGAGCGGCGAACGGGUGCGUAACACGUGAGAAAUCUACCCUUAUGUACGGGAUAGCCCUACGAAAGUAGGAUUAAUACCGGAUAAGGCCCUGGGAGGGCAUCUUCCCUUGGCUAAAGCUCGGUCACAGAGCGCUUUUGGAUGAUCUCGCGGUCUAUCAGCUUGUUGGUGAGGUAACGGCUCACCAAGGCUCUGACGGAUAGCUGGUCUGAGAGGAUGAUCAGCCUCACUGGAACUGAGACACGGUCCAGACACCUACGGGUGGCAGCAGUCGAGAAUCAUUCACAAUGGGCGAAAGCCUGAUGGUGCGACGCCGCGUGGGGGAUGAAGGGCUUCGGUUCGUAAANCCCUGUCAUCUGUGAGUAAGACUCCCAAUAAAAGCUUGGGAGGUUGAUAUUAGCAGAAGAGGAAGGGACGGCUAACUCUGUGCCAGCAGCCGCGGUAAUACAGAGGUCCCAAGCGUUGUUCGGAUUUACUGGGCGUAAAGGGUGCGUAGGCGGCUAGAAAAGUUUGGUGUGAAAUCUUCGGGCUCAACCCGGAAACUGCACUGAAAACUAUUUGGCUAGAGGAUCGGAGAGGAGAUUGGAAUUCUCGGUGUAGCAGUGAAAUGCGUAGAUAUCGAGAGGAACACCAGUUGCGAAGGCGGAUCUCUGGACGGUUCCUGACGCUGAGGCACGAAAGCUGGGGUAGCGAAGAGGAUUAGAUACCCUCGUAGUCCCAGCCGUAAGCGGUGCACACUUGCUGUGGGCGGAUUCGACCCCGUCCGUGGCGAAGCUAACGCGAUAAGUGUGCCGCCUGGGGAGUACGGUCGCAAGAUUAAAACUCAAAGAAAUUGACGGGGGCCUGCACAAGCGGUGGAGUAUGUGGCUUAAUUCGAUGCAACGCGAAGAACCUUACCUGGCCUUGACAUGUAGUGGACCGGGUGCGUAAUGGCACCCUUUUCUUCGGAACUGCUACACAGGUGCUGCAUGGCUGUCGUCAGCUCGUGUCGUGAGAUGUUGGGUUAAGUCCCGCAACGAGCGCAACCCCCGUGUUCUGUUGCCACCCGGAUGUAAAUCCCGGAGCACUCUGGACAGACUGCCUGGUUUCAACCAGGAGGAAGGUGGGGAUGACGUCAAGUCAGUAUGGCCCUUACGGCCAGGGCUGCACACGUACUGCAAUGCCUGAUAUAAUGGGAAGCGAGACCGCGAGGUGGAGCAAAUCCUCAAAAUCAGGCCCAGUUCAGAUUGUAGGCUGCAACUCGCCUACAUGAAGGAGGAAUCGCUAGUAAUGCCGUAUCAGCUACGACGGCGUGAAUACGUUCCCAGGCCUUGUACACACCGCCCGUCACAUCAUGAAAGUCGAUUGUACCCGAAGUCGCUGCAUUAACCGCAAGGAGAUAGGCGCCGAAGGUAUGGUUGGUAAUUGGGAUGAAGUCGUAACAAGGUAGCCGUAGGGGAACCUGUGGCUGGAUCACCUCCUUUCUAAGGAGAAUAACUGUGGUGGCAUAAGCCAUCACGAGGUCGAACCGGGAUGCUUGUCAUCCUGGCAGGGCUCGGACCUUAUUGUGCAAUUCAGUGUUCCGAGAACGGUGUUCUUUUGACAAGAAAGCUUUGCUCCGGGCGGACUCGUUCGGCGAUAAGUAGUUCAAAAGGGGCUGUAGCUCAGUUGGUAGAGCGCCUGCUUUGCAAGCAGGAUGUCAGGAGUUCGAGUCUCCUCAGCUCCACCAGCUACAACAACCGGUCGGGCCUGUAGCUCAGUUGGUUAGAGCGCGCCCCUGAUAAGGGCGAGGUCACUGGUUCAAAUCCAGUUAGGCCCACCAUCCCGGAUUUUUUGGCGACAGCAGAACAGGUCGCCAAGGUUCUUUGACAACUGUAUGCAGUGAUAUUGCGGUAGAAAAUGCAAUACGCUGAGAAUUAAUUUGGAUAUUUUCAAUUUUAUUGAAAUGACCAAGUUCUUUUUGUGAUCAAGCUACUAAGGGCACGAGGUGAAUGCCUUGGCUCCAGAAGUCGAUGAAGGACGUAGUAAGUUGCGAUAAGCCGCGGCUAGCGACAAACACGCUUAACCGCGGAUUUCCC